AAAAAAUUGGGCGGUGGACCGGUGGUCUUCGAGAACUGGCACGACAUUUUUGCAUUUGAACCGGACUUAAGCCAGCUUCUUACAUCUGUGAGAGAGAGCAAAAAUCCAAAAACUCACACUCCCGCCUUAUGCUCCCGCUCAAAACCUUUUUGAGAGAGAAAUCGAUUCAGAAAUGCUUCUGACAAAGAAUGAAAGGGCAUUAAUCGGUGGAGGGCAACAAACACAGUUAAAGGCUUAGCCGCAAUUCUACUACAUAGGAGAAAAUCCGUAUCAAGCUGGAGCAAUCCCCCAACAGCCCUUUUUGACGAUCCAAAAGGGGUUCCAUUGCAGUAAACCAUCUUCAAAAGAUACAGCUUCUCCCUUCACCUACAUCUACUGUGGGACCUCUGGCGUCACCACCAUCAGGUCAUUAUCAUCCCUCUCCCUUCCAUCCUCUCUAUUUUCUAGCUUCUUUUUCUUUCCUGAAUUAUAUCUAUGCAAGUAUCGAUCAUCUUGGAAUUAGGGUUUAUUGUUUACAGAAACAAGAAAAGGGUUUGUUGCUUACAGAAACUAAAAAAGGGUUUAGUUGAAACUUGAAACUUAGGAUUAUGGAUUGUAAAUGACUUUUUGAUUCCACGAUCAGUAAAACAGAUGGAUGGUUUAAAAAUCAAAAUGCACAUUCCUUUUCUUGGCAAGGACUACUUUAUAGUCAAAAUGCGUACUUUGCCAAAGGUAAUAAUUUCAAUGCGAUAGGAGCUUAUGUAAUCCUAAUGCCAGCAGUACAAAAUGUUAGAAAAGAAAAUGAAACAAACAUGCCUAUGGCUUAGGGUCGUCAAAAAUCCUCAAUUAUUCUUGAUUGUGAAUUAUUGUGAUGGCCCUAUUUUAGGUCUAUUAGAUUUUAUGCAGUUUGUGCUUUGGCUUUUAUGUUCCAUGUAUUUGUGUUGUGCCCAUGGGAAAGAAGGGAAUCUAUUAGUGUUGGCAUAAUCACUAAAAGAAGGCUACAAUUCAUUCAUCUGAUGCAAUUGCUAGGUGGUUUCGGAAGUUGCAUGGGAACAAAGAGAUUAAGGUGGUUUCUAUGCUAUACUGUUGCUUUGAGGUUGAAGUGCUAGUUUCUUUUGUUAGAAAUAUCGGUCUGAGGUUAAGAAGCUUGAGUCUUCUUCCAUUUGUCAUGGUUGACUCUUACUUAGAUUUAGAUAGUUUGAAUAGAGAUACUUCUCAGUAUAGAUAUUGAUUAAUUGAU